rnacentral:rRNA from 1 species
UACGUAGGGUGCAAGCGUUGUCCGGAAUUAUUGGGCGUAAAGAGCUCGUAGGCGGUCUGUUGCGUCGGCUGUGAAAACCCGAGGCUCAACCUCGGGCCUGCAGCCGAUACGGGCAGACUAGAGUUCGGCAGGGGAGACUGGAAUUCCUGGUGUAGCGGUGAAAUGCGCAGAUAUCAGGAGGAACACCGGUGGCGAAAGCGAGUCUCUGGACAAUUCCUGACACUGAGGCACGAAAGCUAGGGGAGCAAACAGG